GUGCUCACUUUGGCAGCAUAUAUACUAAAAUUGGAAGGACACAGAGAAGAUUAUCAUGCCCCUGUGCUAGGAUGACACACAAAUUCAUGAAGAGUAGGCUUUGCUU